rnacentral:ncRNA from 1 species
UAGUUUGAUCCUGGCUCAGCAUGAACACUGGAGUCAUGCUUAACAAAUACAAGUAGAUUAAGAAAUAAGGAAAAUGUUAUUUCUAAUGGAGAACAGGUGAGUAACAUAUAAGAACCUGCCCUUAAGAGGGGAACAACGGAUGGAAAUAUCAUCCAAUACCCCAUAGGCUGAGGAGAAAAAAGAGGAAUUUACUCAAGAAGGGUCAUGCAUAUGAUUAGCUAGUUAGUAAGGAAACAACUUACCAAGGUGAUGAUCAGUAGCUAGUUUGAGAGGAUGAUUAGCCACACUAGGACUAAGAAACAACCUAGACUCCUAUGGAAGGUAGCAAUAGGGAAUUUUCUACAAUGGGCAAAAGCCUAACGGAGCAAUAACCUGUGGGGGUAGAAGGCCCAUGGGUUAUGAACUUUUUACCUGAAUAAUAUAAAAUAAUAGAAUCUGUGGAAUAAACAUUAUCUAAAUAUGUAUCAAUAGUCGUAAUAAUACAGAGGAUGUAAGGGUUAUUUGGAUGAUUGGGCGUAGACCGUCUGUAGGUAGCUUUUUAACUGUCAAAUCCCAAGGCUCAACCUUAAACAUGCGGUGGAAACUACCAAGUUGGAGUACGGUAGAGACAGAGGGAAUUUCCAGUGGAGUAGUAAAAUACAUAGAGAUCAAAAAGAACACCAACAACGAUAGCACUCUACUAGGCUAACACUAAAACUGAGACAUAAAAGCUUGGGGAACGAAUGGGAUUGGGUACCCCAAUAUUCCUAGCCAUAAAUGAUGGAUACAAGGAAUUGUGUGUAUCAAUGCAUACAGUGUUGUAGCUAAUACGUUAAGUAUCCAACC